GACGAACGCUGGCGGCGUGCUUAACACAUGCAAGUCGAACGGUGAUGCCCUACUUUGCUGGAGUGGAUCAGUGGCGAACGGGUGAGUAACACGUGAGCAACCUGCCCCAGACUUUGGGAUAACUUCUGGAAACGGCGUCUAAUACCGGAUACGAAACUGGCCCGCAUGGGCAUGGUUUGGAAAGUUUUUCGGUUUGGGAUGGGCUCGCGGCCUAUCAGCUUGUUGGUGAGGUAAUGGCUCACCAAGGCGACGACGGGUAGCCGGCCUGAGAGGGCGACCGGCCACACUGGGACUGAGACACGGCCCAGACUCCUACGGGAGGCAGCAGUGGGGAAUAUUGCACAAUGGGCGGAAGCCUGAUGCAGCGACGCCGCGUGAGGGAUGACGGCCUUCGGGUUGUAAACCGCUUUCGGCAGGGAAGAAGCGAGAGUGACGGUACCUGCAGAAGAAGCACCGGCUAACUACGUG
rnacentral:rRNA from 1 species